AAGGUUUCUUGAGCCUUCCUAACCUUACCCUUAAAUCCACUGGAUACCAGUGCUCUUAUGAAGUUCUUAGGAAUACCAGUUACAAACCUUGCCCAUGUUUUUCUCAGAUCUCUAACCACUGUUCAUACCAAACUUUCAUUUCUUGAUAAUUAGUGAUCUCAGUUGAUGAUUCCAUAAGCAAUUUGAAUGCCCAGUAGACAAUGUUUCUGAUUGGUCAUUAAUACUUUUAAUGUAUAUUAAAUACAAUAGAUUUCUAAUUGGUGAAAUUGAAGGGAGAGAUAAGAAUGGUUCUAUUCAGUGCUUACUCUCUUCAGAACUAGAGCAAGAUAAUUUUAGCUCUGUUUUUUGGGUUUUUUUUAUGUUUUUAUAUUUGCUCCAGAUUCUUUAGAUUCUAGAAUGUUUGAUGAGGCCAAAAAAAUUAUUUUGACAAAAAUUAGGUAAAAUUUGCCUUCAUAUUUGUUUUAAAAGUUUUGUAUAUAUAAUACUCCAGGAAUGGUAAUUUAAUGCAAACAAAGGGAGAGAAUAUAGAAUGAGAUUAAGAGUUGUUAAAAUUGCUUUUUAUCAUUGGCACAGCAGGUAAAAUGAUAGUACCCCUCUUCUGGAUGAAUGGAAUGGAAGGUAAUUGUCAGGAGAAUAUGAUGUCAUUCAUAGAUUCCUUGCUAAUGGUUAGAUGUCUGUUUUACUCCUUGACAUACUCUCACUAACAAAGUAUUCAUCACUUUGAUUCUUACUAUUGGCUUGCAGUCAAUGAUCCAUCUUUAUAGAGAGAUUUUAUACCUCAUUCUCCUUUUGGUUUAUGUUUUGACAAACCAGAGAGUGCUAAUCAAAGGGAAAAAAAACCUGUAAUUUAUCUUAGUUGUAGAAUUAAUAUUUAAACACUACAUAUUUUAUUCUCAGGUACAUAAGAUUUACAUUCCUAUUUACAGGCUCAAGUGCAGUGAAAUUCAUUGAUGAUGAGAGCUAGGAAUACAACUACAACUCCCAUCCUCUCUGUUACCUUGAAUCCUCCACUGAGAAAUUGUAAAUGUCUCCCACCCUGAUUCUUUUGACUUUGUUAUGAUAUUGAAAGCAAUUUUGUACCCAACGGGGCACACUAACAGAACACAUUAUCCCCUGAAUUAUAUUUACGGUAUCAUUUUGCAUUUAAUUAUUCCAUGUCAUCCUUUGCUACUUCACUGAAGAACUGUGAAUUCUUUGUAGUCAGGCCUCAGAUAAUUUUAAAAUUGUGGUAUUUGCUUUGGUAAGAUCCUCUCUAAUAGAAAACAGGCACUCCUUUAAUCUCAUUAAACUGUCCUUUAGAUAAUUAAAAUGGUUAUAAUAUGAAAUAUUUUUUGAUGGCAAGAGAUAAUAUACCAUGCCACUUGCUAUUUAAAUAAGAUCGUGGCAUUCACAUUCAAUUUUAAAUAUGUUUAGAACAGAAUAUUCCUUACAAGAGCAAUAAAAAUCAUUAAGUUCUUUAAGCUAUUAUAGGCUACUGCUUCCAAUGUUACUCUUCACCUACACCUAUCUGUUAAUAUUUUAGGAUAAACAAUUAGAAGAUGCCAAAUAUGCACAUAUUCUUGAAGAAAAGUGUUGUAUUUUUUGUGAAAGUGAUGGUAAAAAAUGGAGAAAAUAACUAGCUCUGUUUUGCAAUUUGAGGCUUUGGAGAAUAUACCCUUGAAUGACUUACAGGAAUUAUUCAUGCAAGGUGUUCUCUUCAGCAAACGUUUGGUUGAUUGGCCAAAACUAGCAUUAUCUUGAAAGAAUUUUCAAGUGAAAUUAGACUGUCCAUUCAGAUAUCGGUUGAAAAGAUUUUGGUCCAGCCAGUCUUUCAGCAUGGAAAUUUUACAAAAUUAAUUGGAUCACUCUUAUUUUGUGAAUUGCUCUGCUCCCAAAAAGCAGACAUUCACCACAUCAGAAUCAAGAAAGAGAAAAAAGAACAGUUCCUGAUAUUCAGAAGACAGUCUGGCAUACACAUCUAGGCUAUGUUAUUUUCCCAUUAGAUAUAAACAAUUCUCACAGAGUACCAGCCUCAGAUAAGGGUAUUCCUUUUUGUUUGUUUUUGUCUUUUGUCUUUUUACGGCCACACCAACGGCAUACUGAAGUUCCCAGGAUAGGGAUCAAAUCAGAGCUACAGCUGCCGGCUUGUGCCACAGCCAGAGCAAUGUGGGAUCCAAGCCAUGCCUGCGACCAACACCACAGCUCACAGCAACGCAGGAUCCUUAACUCACUGAGCAAGGCCAGGGAUCAAACCUGCGUCCUUAUGGAUACUAGUUGGGUUUGUUAACCACUGAGCCACGAUGGGAACUCCUAUAUAGAAUAUUGAGUAGAGUUCCUUGCAGCAGGUCCCCAUUGACCAUUCAUUCCAUAUACAAUAGUGCUUAUAUGCCAGUCCCAAACUUGCAAUCCAUCCCUCCCCACCACCUUUCCCCUUUGUGUCAUUUCUUUAGACUCCACAUAUAAGUGAUAACAUAUGAUAUUUGUCUUUUUCUAAGACAGGAUUAUUCUGAUACCAUGAUAAAAUGAAACAAAUAGAAGCCACCUCAUAAUUUUGUCUAUGCUCAGACAAAAAUCAAGAUUGUUUUAAAACUUCCAAAAUAACAAAGCACCUCCCCCAUUUUCUGGGCAAAGUAAAUGCAUAUUUCUUAACUAAUACAAUGUAAAUCUUGUGUUAGUCUCUACUUUCUGUAAAUAAAUUUUACUGAGAUAGACAAUCACAGAGUUGCUUCUACUUUCUGACAGCAUGCAGUCUAGAGGGAACACUAGCCUCCUUACAUCUUCUCUCAAAUUACCCACUCAAAGCCCCAAUCCUAAUAGGGUCUUUCUAACACCUUCUUAUGGAGACACUCCAUGGCUCACCAUAGUCUGUGUCCUCCUUUGCUAUGACAAGGGAUAAGUCCAGUUUGUUUACCUAUAGAUGUGUUUUUGGUAAUAUUUUGCUUAAGUAUAUUAAGCGAAAGUGACAGUAUUUAAGGUCAUGUGGCAGAGAAAAUAGUCAUGGUCAUCAAAUUUCUAAGUUAUGCUUACUUCUUACUUUAAACCCUCUUAUGCCUGAAAAACCAAUAAAUGCACACAUGCAUAAAACCUUCUUUAACAUUUAAACCCAGAGGAAAACAGCAGAAAUUGAUACUAAUUUACUAUCAUUAUGAGAAAUAACACCUUCAGUCAGGAAUAACAAGAGGAAAAGUGUAUAUAUAUACAUAGAGAUAUUUUUAAAUUCGAAGAGUAAAAUGAAUCAAUGGUAUUUUCUUAGCUUUUUUCCUUGUUUUUCUUCUAAGAACUUGAGCCUCUUUUCUGGCUGGAGGCCAAGGGAAUAGCAGAAGCAGAAGGAGGAGGGAUUGGAAUUAGAGAGACUUGACCUGCAGCUCCCGGAUAGAGGCUACAUGAUGAGGAUUGUGACAACCUCUAGGAGCCAGGACUACAUUCAGACUGACAGUGGGCACAGAAAUGGGGACUUCAGUCCUACAACCACAAGGAGGAACUGCACCCAGCCCACAAGUUGAAUGAUCUUGUAAGUGGGUCCAGAGCCUCAUGAAAGACAUGCAGACUUGCUGGCUCAACUUCAGCUUUAUGAAACUCUAAGCAGAGAACACAGUUGUGUAAUGCUAUAUCUUGACUCUGACCUACAGAAUUGUGAGAUAAGAAAUGGGCAUUGCAUCCAACUUCUAAAUGUAUAGUAAUUUGUUAUUGCAGCAAUAGGAAACUAAAAAUUAUCUCUCAAGGUCAAGGUUAACCAAAAGAUUUUGCUUUGCACCCUUAUGGGAAUAAUAUUUUUACCAGAAAAAAAAAAAGAUGAUUCUCUAGAUCAACAUCUAUUUUUGCUUCAUAUCCCUCUUUGUUUUUCCCUAGAAUCUAUAAUUCACUUUUAUAAAUUAAAAGGUAAUAGUCUAUUUUUACUUAGAGGAUGGGAAGUAAGAAAAGUGUAUAAACCAUGCCUCAAAGAAGUAGCUAGGCAAUAUGAAAGUGUGGUAAAGGAAUAGGGCAUGUGAGAAAUUUACCCAAGUAAAAAUUAAUCUAAUUAUGUGUGUAGAUAUAAGUUUUGUUACCCCAAAGAAGUUGGCACAAGAGAGAAGAAUCUCAGAAUUGUUAUAAUGAAUUGAUGAGGAGAUGAAUGGAUCCUGAAAAAGCUAUCAGGCAUUUGAAGAUGAUGAAGGCAAGAAAGUAGGAAUAAAAUACUGACUCUUGAUAUGAGUGGCUAGAAAGUUAUCCAGUCUUCAAAAGAAGGAAUUCAUUUUGAAACAGAUAACUCUUAAACAAGAUGUGUAAUUAUUUAUGAGUAUUAGCAAACAUUUUCACAUUUAUAUAUGUGUAUUUUAAAUUAAAAAGUACAUAAAAUAUACAUAUUUUUCAUAGGAAAUUAUGUUUAUAUUAUUACUAAUUAAUAUUUUUAAUAAAUUACCAACACAGAAAAAUGUUUAAUAUACUACAAAUAUCUGAUUCUGGGGAGACCUAAACAAGCAUUUGGAAAAGGCAACAGUUGUGCCCAGUCAGACACAGCUUCCAGUUUAUUAGGGAAUCAUACAACUACUUCACAAACAGAAAAUGUUUUUAAUUUGAUUUGUCAAGAUUUAGCCUCAAUCCUUUUAUUAAUGGCUUUUGAAUUCAGUAUGUUUUCUUGCAUUCUAUAUAAGACAAAAUAAAAAUAUCCUGUUUUUCAUUUGAGUUUUUUAGAAUUUCUUGGUUUUAUAGUAAAACCUAGAAGAUCACAGUCCUCACCUUGAGUAUAUCUCCAAAUAAUUUGAAAUUUCCAAAGGGAGUAAACUCAGCUCAUAGUAUUUUGAAUCAUUUAGAGAUUUCAUUUAACUACAUGUGUAUGAAACAUCUGACUAGAAUGGUUUAAUCAACAGUAGAUUUUAUUUUUCACCCAUCUCUGAAAGUAGGUGGCCCAAGUCUGUUGCAAUGACUCCACAGAUUCUUAAGAGUCCCUAUCACAUGUUAUCAUUCAAUUAUGCUAUUUUUAGUAGGUGUUCUCAUGUUUGUGAAAUCUCACAAAGACAUCUCAACAUUCCCAUCCUUUUAGGAAGCAACAAACUAGAUGUGGUGGAAAAGCAGAAGUAUUCCAACCAGCUCCAGAAACAUUCUAGUUGGCCAGAAUUUUGUCACUUGAAUUACUCCUUGUAAGAAAUUUAGAGAAAUGCAACAGAUAAUCUGCACAAAUAG
rnacentral:lncRNA from 1 species